CCGCGUAGUCGAUCGGUUGGUCUGUACUGUUUUCCCCGGGAGAGUUUCGUUUCGACAUCACCGUUGAUCUCUUUCUCUCUCUUCAAUUUUCGAUAGAAUCCGUUUCGUAAACGAUUGAACAUUUUUGUCACGGAGCGUUUCUUUAUUAACGUAACACGAUUAUUUUCAUCAUCCGUUUGAAGAUUCGAAUUUCGUAAGAAUAAGGAACAUAUACGUUCGUUUAUUCUCUUUUAACGGCGUUUUUUAUUACGUGAGCCUGAAUAAACUUUACGCUGGUGAAACUACUAUCGUUCGCAUCUUUUCUUAUAUAAAAUCAGAGAGAGAGAGACAGAGGAAGGUGAUCUGUGAAUGAAUUAUUGAAGGAAGGGAAACGAUGUCGAAGGGGCAAGAAGGUCGAUUCUUCUUCGAUAAUUAAUAUCUUAGAAGACAAUACCCUUAUUGCGAGAGAAGUGUAGUAUAUAUUACAAGAGAGAGAGAGAGAGAGAGAGAGAGAGAGACAGAGAGGGAGGGAGGUGGGGGGUGAUGAGAGAGUGAGAGGGGCCAAGAGAGGAAUUCCAUCUAUCUUCGCGCAGAGGUCAUCACGGAGGUCAACCGGAAGAAGAGAUCGAUAGGAGCGAAUAAUUUUAAGAUUCUCCUUUGAGGAGGAGCAUUAUAAAACACUGUUGAAUUACAAAGAAGAAUAGUAGAAAGA